UAGAGUUUGAUCAUGGCUCAGGACGAACGCUGGCGGCGUGCUUAACACAUGCAAGUCGAACGGUGAAGGGGCCUGCUUUUGUGGGUCCUGGAUGAGUGGCGAACGGGUGAGUAACACGUGAGUAACCUGCCCCCUUCUUCUGGAUAACCGCAUGAAAGUGUGGCUAAUACGGGAUAUUCUGUGCCUGCUGCAUGGUGGGUGUGGGAAAGAUUGCGCCCUUUUUGGGUGUUUUUGGUGGGGGAUGGGCUCGCGGCCUAUCAGCUUGUUGGUGGGGUGAUGGCCUACCAAGGCGGUGACGGGUAGCCGGCCUGAGAGGGUGGACGGUCACACUGGGACUGAGACACGGCCCAGACUCCUACGGGAGGCAGCAGUGGGGAAUAUUGCACAAUGGGCGCAAGCCUGAUGCAGCGACGCCGCGUGAGGGAUGGAGGCCUUCGGGUUGUGAACCUCUUUCGCCAGUGAAGCAGGCCUGCUCCUUGGUGGGUGGGUUGACGGUAGCUGGAUAAGAAGCGCCGGCUAACUACGUGCCAGCAGCCGCGGUAAUACGUAGGGCGCGAGCGUUGUCCGGAAUUAUUGGGCGUAAAGAGCUCGUAGGCGGCUGGUCGCGUCUGUCGUGAAAUCCUCUGGCUUAACUGGGGGCUUGCGGUGGGUACGGGCCGGCUUGAGUGCGGUAGGGGAGGCUGGAACUCCUGGUGUAGCGGUGGAAUGCGCAGAUAUCAGGAAGAACACCGGUGGCGAAGGCGGGUCUCUGGGCCGUUACUGACGCUGAGGAGCGAAAGCGUGGGGAGCGAACAGGAUUAGAUACCCUGGUAGUCCACGCCGUAAACGUUGGGCACUAGGUGUGGGGGGCCUUUUCCGGGUUUUCCGCGCCGUAGCUAACGCAUUAAGUGCCCCGCCUGGGGAGUACGGCCGCAAGGCUAAAACUCAAAGGAAUUGACGGGGGCCCGCACAAGCGGCGGAGCAUGCGGAUUAAUUCGAUGCAACGCGAAGAACCUUACCAAGGCUUGACAUGUGCCGGUCGGCUCCGGAGACGGGGUUUCCUCCUUGUGGGGCCGGUUCACAGGUGGUGCAUGGUUGUCGUCAGCUCGUGUCGUGAGAUGUUGGGUUAAGUCCCGCAACGAGCGCAACCCUUGUCUCGUGUUGCCAGCACGUUGUGGUGGGGACUCGCGGGAGACUGCCGGGGUCAACUCGGAGGAAGGUGGGGAUGACGUCAAAUCAUCAUGCCCCUUAUGUCUUGGGCUUCACGCAUGCUACAAUGGCCGGUACAGAGGGCUGCGAUACUGUGAGGUGGAGCGAAUCCCUUAAAGCCGGUCUCAGUUCGGAUCGGUGUCUGCAACUCGACACCGUGAAGUUGGAGUCGCUAGUAAUCGCAGAUCAGCAACGCUGCGGUGAAUACGUUCUCGGGCCUUGUACACACCGCCCGUCACGUCAUGAAAGUCGGCAACACCCGAAGCCCGUGGCCUUAUGGGAGCGUC
rnacentral:rRNA from 1 species